rnacentral:rRNA from 1 species
GAUGAACGCUGGCGGCGUGCCUAAUACAUGCAAGUCGAGCGAACAGAUGAGGAGCUUGCUCCUCUGACGUUAGCGGCGGACGGGUGAGUAACACGUGGAUAACCUACCUAUAAGACUGGGAUAACUUCGGGAAACCGGAGCUAAUACCGGAUAAUAUAUUGAACCGCAUGGUUCAAUAGUGAAAGACGGUUUUGCUGUCACUUAUAGAUGGAUCCGCGCCGCAUUAGCUAGUUGGUAAGGUAACGGCUUACCAAGGCAACGAUGCGUAGCCGACCUGAGAGGGUGAUCGGCCACACUAGAACUGAGACACGGUCCAGACUCCUACGGGAGGCAGCAGUAGGGAAUCUUCCGCAAUGGGCGAAAGCCUGACGGGGCAACGCCGCGUGAGUGAUGAAGGUCUUCGGAUCGUAAAACUCUGUUAUUAGGGAAGAACAAAUGUGUAAGUAACUAUGCACGUCUUGACGGUACCUAAUCAGAAAGCCACGGCUAACUACGUG